CCAAGUGCUGGUCCCUCUAGGCACUGAAGGCAAAUUCUUUCCAUCUUGAGGUGGAAAAUAUCUGCUACCAGGAUGACUCCAGGCAGACUGCUGCCUCCUGCCUCUGCAGAACUGGUGACAGACUGGCCAGUAAUGCAUCACAUCAGAAGCUACAGACGAGCAUGCAAGUUGUAAUGCAAUCUCAUUCAAAAAGCUAAACAUCUUAAGGAAUUGACAUGGAUCAGAGUGUUCCUACCAUUGACUUUUCUCUCUAAAAGAGAAUGAAAAGAUAAUCUAUGCUCCCAACCCUUUAGCCUUUAAGUGGUGACUGGCUGGAAUCUAGCUGGAGCUGGCUAAUCACUAAAACAGUCAUCUUCAGUGGUCUUUGAGAAAACAGAGUUUCUAAGUGUGCAGGUGCCCUUAUGAAUGCUGGCCCCUCUUCUUGGCUGGCUCAGUAAAAAGGCCAAGGUUUUAAGUGGGCUCAGAGUGUGAACCAUCCCCAGAUGAGGUCCCUCUAAAUUGGUCGAGUAACUUACAGAGCUGCUGCUGUCCCUGCUCCUUGGUUAGAGGGAGGACUUUGGUCUCUCUCCAGGACCACAUUUGGUUUACGUUUUGCUCUUAAAAUUAAAAACUGGACUAAUAAUAAAAAAUGCUUUAUUUGCCCUUCCUAGGGAGUCAGAGAGAGCACAACUGGAGGAGGAGAAAGGGGAGAAGGUAGUGAUUCCAGUGAGUGCAAUUGCCCUAUGCAGUCAGUGACAAGUCUGUACCCCUUCUGAAAUGUACAAAGCUUCCCCAACUGCCCUUCUCCAUAGGGCCAAAGCUCUGUACAUAGUAUUAUGGGAUGUGGCUGUAGCAGGGGGCGGAGAAGAGCGGGGUUAGCAGCUGAGAGGGCUGUGGCUGUAGUGUGGUGAAAUAAAGGAGCUCCAGGUGCUCAGCAUCUUCAGGAAUUGGCCCUGCCUGAACAAGGACUGACUCAAACCAAGGAGGCCUUUGGGAUUUGGUCUCUGGCAUUUCAUUUGUUUGUUUGCCCGCCCGGAUUAAGCAAUGUUUCCCUGGCAGAAUAAAAAACCACUGCAUGUUCAGAGCCCUUUUCAGUUGGAAAAGAGCCAUGGGAAACACCUCAUUACCAACAGGUAGCAAAUAUUUAGUUCUCGCAUGACCAGGUGCGGAAUCCACCUGUGGCAUGGACAAGAAAGAUGUACUUGCAGACUGGUGAUGUAGGCUCUGGUUAAGGCAACUCACUGAAAAGUGACCGUAGGUUUAUUCUCCCCACCUUAGUAUUAUGAGAGUUUUAUUUUCCUCCCUAGUAACCAACCACAGUGAGUGGGGCUCCACAGAGCAGCACAGCUGAGUUUGAGAUGCCAUUGCCGCCACUCACUGUCCCCUCUUCCAACUGGAUCACCACGGUUACCAGAUGGAGAGGAUUCCAGGAGCCACAUCUAAAAAAGUCUCCACAAGGAUCUUCUAAAAGGCAGCCCGUAACAGCCUUCUUGUGAAAGGUCAGGAGAACAGACAGCACUCUGAAUCAUAUUGCUCCAGACACUUAACCAUGUGAACAUCCAGAGCCAUAACAAAACUACCAUUUCUGAACUGGUUUGGUCACAUACUAAAAUGAAAAGAUGCUACAAGGAUGGAUGUGGGGGGAUAAUAAACCCCACACAACAGCCUCUAGUGGUACAGUUCCCACCACAGAAGCUCCACCUUUGCAGACAAACUUACUGCAACAAAAUACAGACAGUCUCUAAUUACAGACUGUAAAUAGAAUCUGGGAGCCAUGAGGCAUGGUAGAAAUUCAAGGACACUGUAACAUGAGAGGAGAUCCUGAAAUUGUGAUCCUUUCUCCUCUUCAGUGGCUAACCCACAAAAGGGGCAGCGGGCAGAUGAGAAGUGCCUCCUGAGCAAUCAUAGAUAAGAACAGAUUUCACACUAAAAAGUCAAGAAGAAAAACUCUAGCUUUGGGAGUGAAGAGAGACUUCAGAACUGCCCUCCCAAUAUGUGACUGCCUUCUGCUGAACCAGAAAUGGCUAAUACUAUAAAAGAGACACACUCAGGCACUCCCCAUGGAAAUCAUGGCACCUGAUCCUUCAUUAAGAUACUGGUUGGCACCGCUUGUAUGCUUUAUGCCAAUAAAACUUAAAUUGUAGGCAGGGCCUCCUGAAAGCUUUUGCCCCUCCUUCCCUGCCAUUCAUCCCAGUGCCAUCAGAAGAUGACAUUAUUUAAUUUAAUGUCUAUAAACACUCUGAAGAUGGAAAGGAUUAUAUGGUUACAUUUGUGGGCCUGUGAUGGAAUGCACCUCUUUAAUUACAUCCUAAAUACUAUUUUACUAAUGUUUGUACAAGGAAUGCCUUCUGAGCAAGGUGUGAGGUAUCAUUUGGUGGGGAAAAAACUCAGUAAUAUCAUGGUAAAAUGCAUGUAGCAACAUCAUUAUGAACAUAAGCUGAAAUCAUGAAUGAAGUGUUUCUAGAUAAGUCCGGGGAGAGAUUAAAGCCAUUUCCCAAAGACCAAAGGCAAACUGAUGCCCCCUCUUGGUGUUGUCAAGCUGAUGGGCCAUCACCUAUCAUCUGUCAUCCUUCCUCCACCAGAUCACGUGUCUCUUGCUUCUCAGCUGGAAAUCCUUUUCAAAGAGGGACAGAAAUUAUAAAAAGGUGGGGCAAACACUGUCACUCCUCCUUUGUCUCCCUAUCCAUCUCACUUGUUGCACCUGAGAAGACAAAAGAAGCAGUCACUGAAUCUGAAGUUUGGUCAGUAAUGCUAUUGGAAGCAUGUGGUGAGAAACUUGCCGAGUUUGGUAAACUAGGUGGUAGAAAGCAUUUUUAUCUUGUAUCAUUUCUGACUUUUAUGUCUCAUUGCUUUUCAUUACUUAAUAUCUGUUUUUGUUGUUAAUAAACUUUAUUU